rnacentral:lncRNA from 1 species
CAGGUUUUUAUUUGCAUGAAUAUUUGCAUGAUUCUUAACCAUCAAUAUUUAUCAUCCAGUGAGAAAGAGUUGUAGACUCAAAAUGUUCUCUCUAGGUAAAACUUUACAUUAGCUUGCUGCCAUCUGUGAUAGUCAUACACUAAACCUUUUUGUGUUAAGACAGGAUGCCAUAGGAAAUUUGGAACACAACUGUGUAAAACUUGCUUGUGAGAACUUUGUAACAAGGUAUUAGAAUGAGUCUUUAUCUUUUAUGAAAGGACAGUGCUUUCUUUAUUAUUUUGAAGGAUGAUGUUUGAAAGAAUGGACUAUGGUGGUCAUGAGUAUUGAAGGAAGAGGACUUAUAAAGAGUAAUAUGGAGUUUUAAAUUACCGAUAAAAAGGAUUUGUACUUAAAUUAAUGGAUGGGGCACCACCAAUAUGACCAUGCAUGUGACCUUUUGGGUAAACACAGUAUAAGUGUAAUAGUACAGUUCUUGUAAAUUUUAGUGAAAUAGUGUUUACACAGACCA